rnacentral:rRNA from 1 species
GAUGAACGCUGGCGGCGUGCUUAACACAUGCAAGUCGAACGAAGCACUUUAUUUGAUUUCCUUCGGGACUGAUUAUUUUGUGACUGAGUGGCGGACGGGUGAGUAACGCGUGGGUAACCUGCCUUGUACAGGGGGAUAACAGUUGGAAACGUCUGCUAAUACCGCAUAAGCUCACGGCUUCGCAUGAUGCAGUGUGAAAAACUCCGAUGGUAUAAGAUGGACCCGCGUUGGAUUAGCUAGUUGGUGAGGUAACGGCCCACCAAGGCGACGAUCCAUAGCCGAGACGAGAGGGUGACCGGCAACAUUGGGACAGAGACACGGAGCAAACUCCUAGGGGAGGAAGAAGGGGGGAAUAAGGAACAAUGGGUGAAAGCAGGAGGUAGCGAGGCCGCGUGAGCGAAUAAGUAGAGAGGUAUGUAAAGCUGUAUGAGAAGGGAAGAUAAUGACGGUACCUGACUAAGAAGCAACGGCUAAAUACGUG